UACGUAGGGAGCAAGCGUUGUUCGGAUUUACUGGGCGUAAAGCGUGCGUAGGCGGUUCGCUGUGUCCGAUGUGAAAGCCCCGGGCUUAACCUGGGAAUGGCAUUGGAAACUGGCGGGCUUGAGUGCGGCAGAGGGGGGUGGGAAUUCCGCGUGUAGCAGUGAAAUGCGUAGAGAUGCGGAGGAACACCGAUGGCGAAGGCAGCCCCCUGGGUCGACACUGACGCUCAGGCACGAAAGCGUGGGGAGCAAACAGG
rnacentral:rRNA from 1 species